rnacentral:rRNA from 1 species
CUUACUGUUUCGUAGG